UCUGCCAUCCUGCAGACCCCGGUGAUAUCUGUCCCGCCUGGUGUCCAUCUGACUGGCUCACCUUGCCAGAAGUACAGAGGAAUCUGCCGCCAGUCCACCUCUACGUGGUGACCUUCCUGAAGACCCUCUCCGGCAUCUCGGUGCUGACUCCCGUCUUUGGCCGAGUCGUGGUUUCAGAGACCAUCGCCCUGUGCUAGCCAACCUCUCAUGUCCC